rnacentral:rRNA from 1 species
CCUACGGGGGGCAGCAGUAGGGAAUAUUAGUAAUGGGCGAAAGCCUGAACUAGCAACGCCGCGUGUGCGAAGAAGGCCUUCGGGUUGUAAAGCACUUUUUGAGAGGAUGAGGAAGGACGGUACUCUCAGAAUAAGUCUCGGCUAACUACGUGCCAGCAGCCGCGGUAACACGUAGGAGGCGAACGUUAUCCGGAUUUACUGGGCGUAAAGCGCGUGUAGGUGGUUUGGUAAGUAGGGCGUGAAAGCUCCUGGCUCAACUGGGAGAGGCCGUUCUAAACUGCCGAACUAGAGGAUGGUAGAGGGAGGUGGAAUUCCGGGUGUAGCGGUGGAAUGCGCAGAUAUCCGGAGGAACACCAGUGGCGAAAGCGGCCUCCUGGACCACUCCUGACACUCAGACGCGAAAGCUAGGGUAGCAAACGGGCUUAGAUACCCGGGUAGUC